rnacentral:misc_RNA from 1 species
UGGCUCUCGCAUCGAUGAAGAACGCAGCGAAAUGCGAUAAGUAAUGUGAAUUGCAGAAUUCAGUGAAUCAUCGAAUCUUUGAACGCACCUUGCGCUCCUUGGUAUUCCGAGGAGCAUGCCUGUUCGAGUGUCAUUAAAUUUAUCAACCUUUAUUUGACUUUUUGUCACUAGAGGCUUGGACUUGGGGGUUUAUUUUGUUGGUUUCAUUUAGAAAUCUGCUCCCCUUAAAUGUAUUAGCUGGUGCACUUAGUGGUAUCAUCUAUUGGUGUGAUAAUUAUCUACGCCGUUGGAUGUCUAAUGCGCUGCUUCUAAUCGUCCUUUUGGACAAAUUUGUUAUGACCAUUUGACCUCGAAUCAGGUAGGACUACCCGCUGA